UACGUAGGGUGCAAGCGUUGUCCGGAAUUAUUGGGCGUAAAGAGCUCGUAGGCGGACUCUUAAGUCGGUGGUGAAAUCCUGGAGCUCAACUCCAGAACUGCCUUCGAUACUGAGAGUCUUGAGUCCGGGAGAGGUGAGUGGAACUGCGAGUGUAGAGGUGAAAUUCGUAGAUAUUCGCAAGAACACCAGUGGCGAAGGCGGCUCACUGGCCCGGUACUGACGCUGAGGUGCGAAAGCGUGGGGAGCAAACAGG
rnacentral:rRNA from 1 species